rfam:Gossypium hirsutum cultivar TM-1 chromosome 2, whole genome shotgun sequence
AUGUUAUGAUGAUGACAUUUCUGCAACAACUUCUAGAAUCUCUCUCAUGCAUCAUAAAAGAAUUCAUCGUCAUGCUGCUGGAAUAUAGUAAUUUCAUUAUGUAGCUU